GACGAACGCUGGCGGCGGGCUUAACACAUGCAAGUCGAACGGAAAGGCCCUGCUUUUGUGGGGUGCUCGAGUGGCGAACGGGUGAGUAACACGUGAGUAACCUGCCCUUGACUUUGGGAUAACUUCAGGAAACUGGGGCUAAUACCGGAUAGGAGCUCCUGCUGCAUGGUGGGGGUUGGAAAGUUUCGGCGGUUGGGGAUGGACUCGCGGCUUAUCAGCUUGUUGGUGGGGUAGUGGCUUACCAAGGCUUUGACGGGUAGCCGGCCUGAGAGGGUGACCGGCGACAUUGGGACUGAGAUACGGCCCAGACUCCUACGGGAGGCAGCAGUGGGGAAUAUUGCACAAUGGGCGGAAGCCUGAUGAAGCAACGCCGCGUGCGGGAUGACGGCCUUCGGGUUGUAAACCGCUUUCGCCUGUGACGAAGCGUGAGUGACGGUAAUGGGUAAAGAAGCACCGGCUAACUACGUG
rnacentral:rRNA from 1 species